rnacentral:lncRNA from 1 species
GAAAACCAUUUACGUCCAUAGGCAGCUCUCUACGCUGCCUAUGGACGUAACCGCGCUAUGCCAAAUGCUAUACGUAAGUUCCCAGUGCAUUAGUAAAUUGAUACAGCGUCGCCACUGCUACGUUCUCUAGCAAGUGGGCGGGAUAACACUACAGCGAGGAUGACAGCGCUAGAGACAUUAAAGAAACUUUCUUUUGAGGAAAAACAACAGCUUUUAAAAGAUGGAAGACCAACACCUGAGCUACCAGACCUUCAGCAAAGCUCCUUUCAGGGAUUACAGGCUUCUCCUGUUCUGUCCUGCCCGUGUGAAGAUCCCACAUCUUACUGCAGCCCUGCAGGUGGAUUUCCCUGCGAUAGCACACCUGUGUGUCAAUGAACCAUCUAAACUUAAAGCAGACUGCAGCAGGGAAAAUGAUCUGAAGAUGCAGAUUUAGUGUUCAUUUGUCAACUCCAUCUUUGUGUACUCCAGUUGAAGUAACUAUUUUCUAUAUCUUCUACACACAUCCAAUAUUAUCAUGGUUUCAAUAUGAUUUUGCAAAGGAUUAAACAGCUGCUCUGCUACACUUCUACCCAGACAGAGAGAGACACAAGUGAUGUCAGUGAGCAAACUUUAUUAUCACUAUGAAUGAAAUCACAUCUUUAAACUACGGCAGUCUAUUUUCAAAUAAAUCUUCACAUGCAACCA